AUUGAACGCUGGCGGCAUGCUUACACAUGCAAGUCGGACGGCAGCACAGAGAAGCUUGCUUCUUGGGUGGCGAGUGGCGACGGGUGAGUAAUAUAUCGGAACGUACCGAGUAAUGGGGGAUAACUAAUCGAAAGAUUAGCCUAAUACCCGCAUAUUCUCUGAGGAGGAAAGCAGGGGACCUUCGGGCCUUGCGUUAUUCGAGCGGCCGAUAUCUGAUUAGCUAGUUGGUGGGGUAAAGGCCUACCAAGGCGACGAUCAGUAGCGGGUCUGAGAGGAUGAUCCGCCACACUGGGACUGAGACACGGCCCAGACUCCUACGGGAGGCAGCAGUGGGGAAUUUUGGACAAUGGGCGCAAGCCUGAUCCAGCCAUGCCGCGUGUCUGAAGAAGGCCUUCGGGUUGUAAAGGACUUUUGUCAGGGAAGAAAAGGCUGUUGCUAAUAUCGACAGUUGAUGACGGUACCUGAAGAAUAAGCACCGGCUAACUACGUGCCAGCAGCCGCGGUAAUACGUAGGGUGCGAGCGUUAAUCGGAAUUACUGGGCGUAAAGCGAGCGCAGACGGUUACUUAAGCAGGAUGUGAAAUCCCCGGGCUCAACCUGGGAACUGCGUUCUGAACUGGGUGACUAGAGUGUGUCAGAGGGAGGUAGAAUUCCACGUGUAGCAGUGAAAUGCGUAGAGAUGUGGAGAAAUACCGAUGGCGAAGGCAGCCUCCUGGGAUAAACUGACGUUCAUGCUCGAAAGCGUGGGUAGCAAACAGG
rnacentral:rRNA from 1 species